rnacentral:rRNA from 1 species
UACGUAGGUCCCGAGCGUUGUCCGGAUUUAUUGGGCGUAAAGCGAGCGCAGGUGGUUUAUUAAGUCUGGUGUAAAAGGCAGUGGCUCAACCAUUGUAUGCAUUGGAAACUGGUAGACUUGAGUGCAGGAGAGGAGGGCAGAAUUCCAUGUGUAGCGGUGAAAUGCGUAGAUAUAUGGAGGAACACCGGUGGCGAAAGCGGCUCUCUGGCCUGUAACUGACACUGAGGCUCGAAAGCGUGGGGAGCAAACAGG